rnacentral:rRNA from 1 species
GAUUCCUACGGGAGGCAGCAGUGGGGAAUUUUGGACAAUGGGGGCAACCCUGAUCCAGCCAUUCCGCGUGAGUGAAGAAGGCCUUCGGGUUGUAAAGCUCUUUCGGCAGGAACGAAACGGUGAGCUCUAACAUAGCUCGCUAAUGACGGUACCUGAAGAAGAAGCACCGGCUAACUACGUGCCAGCAGCCGCGGUAAUACGUAGGGUGCGAGCGUUAAUCGGAAUUACUGGGCGUAAAGCGUGCGCAGGCGGUUGUGUAAGACAGGUGUGAAAUCCCCGGGCUUAACCUGGGAACUGCGCUUGUGACUGCACGGCUAGAGUAUGGCAGAGGGGGGUGGAAUUCCACGUGUAGCAGUGAAAUGCGUAGAGAUGUGGAGGAGCACCGAUGGCGAAGGCAACCCCCUGGGCCAAUACUGACGCUCAUGCACGAAAGCGUGGGGAGCAAACAGGAUUAGAUACCCUGGUAGUCCACGCCCUAAACGAUGUCGACUAGGUGUUCGGUGAGGAGACUCAUUGAGUACCGCAGCUAACGCGUGAAGUCGACCGCCUGGGGAGUACGGUCGCAAGAUUAAAACUCAAAGGA